rnacentral:rRNA from 1 species
AUGACCGGCCAUGUCAUUGAGCUUGACCUUCAUGCACGGUACAUCCGGUCUUCCCUGGAAGGUGAGAUCAGUUCUUCUCUCAAAACCCUGCAGCAUCUGCAACACCUCGACCUUGGCGGGGAUUACCAUCUCACCGGGCGUCGAGGCCGCCUGCCAGGCUUCUUAGGGUCUCUUGGCAAUCUGCGGUACCUCAACCUUUCGGGCCUGAAUUUUUCUGGCACGGUGCCCCAUCAGCUUGGCAACCUCUCGAGGUUGCGAUACCUUGAUCUGACAUCUUAUGGUCUGUACUCAGAAGAUCUCCGGUGGCUGUCACAGCUCUCUUUGCUCAAGCAUCUUGACAUGAGUUUUGCGAACCUCAGCGCCGUGAUAGGCUGGGUUGACACAGUGAACAUGCUGUCCUCUCUUGAGGUCCUCAGGCUAUCAACAUGUUCGCUUAUUACCACAAACCACUAUAUGCCUCGCUCGAAUCUCACCAGGCUCAAGAUCCUCGACCUCUUUCGGAACUCCAUUGAAAUGCAGUUUGACGCUAUUAGCUGGGUUUGGGACGCAAGCAGCCUGAAAUAUCUCAACCUUGAGUCCAACCAUAUAUAUGGUGUGUUUCCUGCACAAUAG